rnacentral:rRNA from 1 species
AAGAAAGUAAGAAAGGGCGUAUGGUGGAUGCCUAGGCUCACAGAGGCGAUGAAGGACGUGAUAAGCUGCGAUAAGCUUCGGGUAGGUGCAAAUAACCUUUGAUCCGAAGAUUUCCGAAUGGGACAACCCGGCCGUCUGAAGGACGGUCACUCACGCUAAGCGUGAGAGCUAACGCAGGGAACUGAAACAUCUUAGUACCUGUAGGAAGAGAAAAUAAAUAAUGAUUCCCUUAGUAGUGGCGAGCGAACGGGGAACAGCCCAAACCGUGACUGUGGCAACGCAGCCGCGGGGUAGUAGGACCGCGACAUUGUAUGCAUGCAGUGAGCAGAAUCUUCUGGAAAGAAGAACCGCAGAUGGUGAAAGUCCAGUAUGCGAAGCUAAUUGCAACAUAGCGGUAUCCUGAGUAACGCGGAACACGAGGAAUUCUGCGCGAAUCCGCCGGGACCAUCCGGUAAGGCUAAAUACUCCUGUGAGACCGAUAGUGAACCAGUACCGUGAGGGAAAGGUGAAAAGCACUUCGAUAAGAAGAGUGAAAUAGUUCCUGAAACCAUACGCCUACAAGCGGUCGGAGCUGCUUUUUGCAGUGACGGCGUGCCUUUUGCAUAAUGAACCUACGAGUUACCAUCACCAGCAAGGUUAAGGGCCAUAAGUCCCCAAGCCGCAGUGAAAGCGAGCCUGAAUAGGGCGUAUAGUUGGUGGGGGUAGACGCGAAACCAAGUGAUCUACACUUGACCAGGUUGAAGUUCCGGUAACACGGAAUGGAGGACCGCACCAAUAAGCGUUGAAAAGCUUCUGGAUGAGUUGAGUGUAGGAGUGAAAGGCCAAUCAAACUUGGAGAUAGCUCGUAC